CAAUAGCGUAUAUUAAAGUUGUUGCAGUUAAAAAGCUCGUAGUUGGACUUCUGCGGGUGGCGGCCGGUCGUGCUCGAAACGGGCGUGAACUUGGCGUGCUGCCCGCAUCUUUGGGGAGAUUGUGCGUGGCAUUAAGUUGUCGUGCAUGGGAUUCUCAUCAUUUACUGUGAAAAAAUUAGAGUGUUUAAAGCAGGCCUUUGCCUUGAAUACAUUAGCAUGGAAUAAUAAGAUAGGACCGUUGUCUAUUUUGUUGGUUUACAGAUGUCGGUAAUGAUUAAUAGGGAUAGUUGGGGGUAUUCGUAUUCAGUUGUCAGAGGUGAAAUUCUUGGAUUUUCGGAAGACGCACGACUGCGAAANCANNNACGAAGGAUGUUUUCAUNAA
rnacentral:rRNA from 1 species